AGGAGGAACAGCCCCAGUGGCGGGGCAGCUCUGGAAACCUGGAUUCAGCUCCGGCAGGAGCUCCGUCUGCAGGGCCUGGAGGCUCCGGGGCGGG
rfam:Canis lupus familiaris chromosome 17, whole genome shotgun sequence.